rnacentral:rRNA from 1 species
GUCUAUGGCCAUCCCACGCUGAACGCGCUCGGUCUUUUCUGAUCUCGGAAGCUAAGCAGGGUCGGGCCUGGUUAGUACUUGGAUGGGAGACCUCCGGGUAAUACCGGGUGCUGUAGGCU